ensembl:lncRNA
AAAUAGAGGAGCCCCUUCCCUCCCCCCAGCUAGACAAAGUCUAAAGUGAUCUGUGCCUUAUCCGAGCGCGGUGAUGUGACAUUAACUGGAUUCCCCCACAAGUCGGCAUCGGAAGGAAUCUCUACGAAGUUGCAUCACAAAGGCCUGGAUUUGCUAGUGGAACUAAGUUUUUCCCGAAAGAGGUGACAGAAUAACUGAGAACAAUCUGCUGGGCUGUGGAAUCCAGUCCUGAGCUCACUGGUGAUCUCCUUCUUCAGCUGAAUCAUCAGAAGUGGUGAGACGAAAAGACUCCUACCCAACCAAACUGCUUCAGACAAAUUCAAUCAGUUUGUCAAGGAAUGGAGCUGUAUAGUGUGGCCAGAUCACCAUCUGCUUGCACCACCACUGAGCUGUCUCUCUACGACUGCCACCUACAUAUUAAGUGGCUGGAAGGAGCCUUUCUGUGAAAACGACAUUUUAGCUGGGACCCGAGGAUGAAUUGGAAAGAAUGUGUGAAGUGAGUCCUCCAUGCCAUUUAAAGUACAGGAAAAAGAAUGAAACAUUGCCAUCUGCAGCAGCUUGAAUGGAUCUAGAGAUUAUCAUACUAAGUGAAGUAAGUCAGAGAGAGAAAGACAAAUGUCAUAUCACUUAUAUGUAGAAUCUAAAAAAUGAUACAAAUGAACUUGUUUACAAAACAGAAAUAGAGUCACAAACAUAGAAGACCAAUUUAUGGUUACCAAAGAGGACAAGGGGGCAGGGAGAAAUUAGGAAUUUGGGAUUAACACAUACACACUUCUAUAUAUGAAAUAAACAACCAAGACCUACUGUGUAGCACAAGGUGCGUGCAUGCUAAGUUGCUGCAGUCGUGUCCGACUCUUUGUGACCCUAUGGACUGUAGCCCGCCAGGUUCCUCUGUCCAUUGGAUUCUCCAGGCAUGAAUACUGGAAUGGGUUGCCAUGCCCUCCUCCAAGGGAAAUUCCCAACCCAGGGAUCGAACCUGUGUCACUUACGUCUCCUCAUUGCAGGCAGACUCUUUACCACUAGUGCCACCUGGGAAGCACCCCACCCCUGAGCUAUAUUCAGUAUCUUGUAAUAACCUCUCUUGGAAAAGAAUAUGAAAAUAUAUAAACAUGUAUAUAUUUAUGUAUAACUAAAUCACUUUGCUGUGUCACUUUCCUGAAACUAGCACAACAAACAUUGUAAUCAACUAUAUUUCAAUGAAAAAAAAGAAAACCUUUGAAUUCAGCAUAGAAUAUGGUACAUUUAAGGGAAAGCAGAAUAAAUAGCAAAAUAAAGUAGACAGCUAAGAUAGGAGAGGCUACAGGCCAAACUCAAA